AGCUAGCCCACUCUACGUCUCCACCCGUACUCGUGUAUUUUCUAAUCAGGUGCGAGCAGUUCACGUUCCUCUCUCCUCCCCUCCUCGCUGGCGAUUGCGGUUUGCAGAGGCGGCGGCAGCCAUGUCGAUGGCGCCGGAGGGACAAUCUUGAAGCAAGGGAUACCCCUCUCUCUCCUGCGUGGAUUACUCCCCCUUUCCCUCUUCAUGCGGUAGCGACCAGGAGGCGAGCUGGGCAGUGCAUCGAUCUGGUGCGAGCUCGGCGGCGGCGACGACCUUUUCCGAUGUCCCUCUCCAUCGUCAGCGGUCUUCUCAUUGGUAACACCUCCCUCUUCCUCUUCCAUUCCCUUUUCUCCAUGAAUUUCUUAAUUUUUAGGGUUAGGGUUCUAUAUUUUUGAGGAACAGGGUAAAUAAAGGGUAAAAAGACCAAGAAAUUAAGGAGAUGAAAGAGAAGAGAUGAGCUUGCAUACUGAAGGGGGUGAUGGAGAAAACCUUAGCUCGUCUGUGGGAUCAAAUCAAGGAGGUGGGGAUCACACAGGAGGAGAAGCCGCGGAGGAGGAACAACACCAGAGUAUCUUCUUAGAUCCAGCCAAAUGUGAUAGCUCUGUUUGUUGUCUAUCUUCUCUGUUUUAGAUGAACUGUUAUUCCUUAUUUCUUCUUUAGAGCUCCACUGCUACAAAAAAAGAACCAGUUCCGGCCAUUUUCACUUGGAAUGGAGUUGGGAUGCUGCUACUGUAUUUAGGAUGGUAUCCCAUCAUUCUGAAUCCGCUUCAGAACUGAACACUAGUGACGCUUCAGAACUUUCUGUAGGUGCAGACCUGAAGACUAGUGAGACACAGUAGCAACUAGCGAAAAUGACAAGUGCAGAAUUUUGUUUUCCUUUUACAAUUCAUCGUACAUUUUGUAGCUCUUUGUCACCUCUGUGAAACCACUGCAUACGCCUUCAGUACACUAACCUUUCUCAGGUUUGCUUCUCAUAUUUUUACAAUGUGCUUAAGGCAAAUGAUGAAUGGUUAAGCACCUAUUUAUUUCUAGUUUUGAUCUGUUGAUGCACACUGAACACAAGAAUAAAUCUGGACACGCUCCAAUUUUACGUUGAUGUAAACAAGCGAUGCAAUCUACGUUGCAUGCAAAUUUGGAAAAUGUAUUAGUUGGACAUGCUCCUAUUUUUUUUGUUGGCCCUAUAUCUCUUAUCUUUGUCUCUCAGAAUUCUUACAAACAGGAUUAGGGCCUCUCAGUGUAUUAGUUUAACUGUUGAGGGGUCCCAAUCCUGUUUCUAUUUUGGUUCGUCUUGUUUUAGCUCCUACUGACCUUGUUCAUGGAUAUAGCAACCAAGAAGCGCAAGAUGAUUUUGCAAGUUUUGGUUCAGUUGACACUUAAGUAUUUUUUGUUACAGAUUUGUAGCUCCUCUUUCUUUUAAUCUUCUUUCUGAAUAGUAACUCCACUGAUUAGUAGGAUCAAUAACAAACAUAAUAAAGUUGCCACACUUGCAUUCUUGGAAGAUCCAUUGAAGGAACAUGGCAAAUCUCACCAAUUGAUGUUUGUUUUAAAGAAAAAUAGCCCGACACCAUCACAUUUGCAUGGGCAUGUCUAGGUUUUUCCUCUCAAGGAAACGCACUCAUUCUCUUUUGAGUUUGAGUUUAACCUGUACUGUACUAUUUCCAUUAGCACUAUGCAUUUCAGUUUUGGACACUCUAAUGGCAACAUUAGGUAUGCUUAGCAAAACUAAUCAUUCUGGGAUCAACACAUCAUAUGAUGAUACAUGGGCUUUAGUUACCUCAUAGAACUUUGUACAUGUUUAUUGAUCCAAAAAAGAUGUCUUGUAAAACGUGAUCUUGAUGAUGGAAUUACCCUUUAUUCUACCUUCGCACGAUAUGUCCAUGUAUAUUUAGUGCGAUCUUUCACUAGAGAACAAUAGUAGUUGUUGUAAGUUUUUCCUAAAGUUUCUACCAAAAUCAUCAUGUUCGAGCCACUGGUUUCUGGAAACUGUAAUGGGGAAAACUCAUUUAUCAAUUUUAGAACCAGGAUUUUUGGGUUGCAUAUUUUGUAAUGUGUUCGAUUGUUUGGAACUAGUGGAAUAAAAUUGCAUAGCAAUAUUAAAUUUUACAUGUCCUGUGUUGCCUCGUUGACCUCUAGUUAGGUAGCAGUUCUAUGUUGGUAUUGAGCUGGUCAACAGAAAUUGGAUAGGUGUACUGCGGCAUCUACCACAACGCAAGCAUAGCUGCGACCUUGGUAUCUCCAGCUUGUAGUUUGGGUGCAUGCUAGGUGUUAAUCUUGCCAACAUGUUCUUCUACUGUUUCGUCAUUCUCAUGGAGGAACAAAUAUCCAAUGUCAAAAGGGAGAAUUCCCCUAGUGUGAAUCAACUUUAGGGCUAUUGUGUAUUUGCCUUAUGAAAGUCACUGCUUCAAUUUGCCUUGCAUUUUUUUGUAAGGAAAAUGGCAAAUAAGGAAUCUGCUAUAAUCAAGGAAGGAAGAAGCUGUUUGUAAGCGACUUGGAGACGAAGUAUCUGGAGACACUCAACAUGUGCCAGUUUUAGUUAUAUAGUACCAAUGCAUGGGAGAUAUACUAGUUGAUAGUCAUUACAUUGCACGAUUCUGUAGAAAACAGUUUUAUAUUGCAAACUUUUAUGGGCACACGAGGCCAUGUGAGAAGUUCUUAUGCCGUCUGAUUUUCGUCUUGCUGAUUAUUCUUAUUCCGUGUGAUUUUACAAUAAGCUAUAGUGAUGCAUAUUUCA